rnacentral:rRNA from 1 species
AGGACGAACGCUGGCGGCGUGCUUAACACAUGCAAGUCGAGCGGAAAGGCCCUUCGGGGUACUCGAGCGGCGAACGGGUGAGUAACACGUGAGUAAUCUGCCCCUAGCUCUGGGAUAGCUCCGGGAAACCGGGAUUAAUACCGGAUAUGACCACUUUAGACAUCUGUUGUGGUGGAAAGAAUUUCGGCUAGGGAUGAGCUCGCGGCCUAUCAGCUUGUUGGUGGGGUAACGGCCUACCAAGGCGACGACGGGUAGCCGGCCUGAGAGGGCGACCGGCCACACUGGGACUGAGACACGGCCCCAGACUCCUACGGGAGGCAGCAGUGGGGAAUAUUGCGCAAUGGGCGAAAGCCUGACGCAGCGACGCCGCGUGGGGGAUGAAGGCCUUCGGGUUGUAAACCCCUUUCAGCAGGACGAAGCGAAAGUGACGGUACCUGCAGAAGAAGCGCCGGCGUAACUACGCGCCACGCAGCCGGC